rnacentral:rRNA from 1 species
CUCCACCUCUUCCCAUCCCGAACAGAGAAGUUAAACCUGACUACGCCGAUGGUACUGCGCAAGUGGGAGAGUAGGUAGCCGCCCCUU